rnacentral:misc_RNA from 1 species
GAAAUGCGAUAAUUAAUGUGAAUUGCAGAAUUCAGUGAAUCAUCGAGUCUUUGAACGCACAUUGCGCCCCCUGGUAUUCCGGGGGGCAUGCCUGUCCGAGCGUCAUUGCUGCCCUCAAGCACGGCUUGUGUGUUGGGCUUCCGUCCCUGGCAACGGGGGCGGGCCCAAAAGGCAGUGGCGGCACCAUGUCUGGUCCUCGAGCGUAUGGGGCUUUGUCACCCGCUCCCGUAGGUCCAGCUGGCAGCUAGCCUCGCAACCAAUCUUUUUAACCAGGUUGACCUCGGAUCAGGUAGUGAUACCCGCUGAACUUAAGC